rnacentral:lncRNA from 1 species
AUGGUUCUUCAAACAGCUCCUGCCUGCAUAGCCUCAAGCACACUGGUUUCCAUCAGCGAGCUCUCUGAUUGGUCUUCAGCGGCCGGCUGUCACCAGAGCUCUACCAUUAAAUUCAUCACGCAGGAUGAAGCUGCGGUGCAGCCCCUCCUCCUUGUCCACGCUGCGCGACAAACAUUCAUCUGUAAGAUACUGGAAAUCCUCCGUCAGUACCUGCUGGUGCACCAGGAUGAGCAGAGGUUAAAGAGAGCAGCAGCACCAUUGCAGGGCUUAGCUGGAGCCGCUCUAACAGCAUGCGCCUGCUCAACAUCUGGAACAAAGAAGUCAGUCUGGAUCUACCCUCGGUGUUUACAACGCUGUUGUUUUUUCACACUCCUCGCAAAAUCUCGCCCAAACACACAUUCCAGACUCACCAGCUCAACAUGGGGGGAAAAUAUACUAUACUUUUCCACUGUAAACCCCACUCCAGGAGGUGAGGCAGGUAUGGGAAAACUGAAGCCUAAAGCCUGCAUGAAUCGGGGAGGAUCUGACUGUUGCUGGAGUGGCAUCGCAAGCUGCCAACUGUCUGUUUACAAGCUUCUAAAGAGACGUCUUAGGAGGCAUGGGAUGCCGCAUUCUACUAGUAUGUCAAAAAACACCCACUGAGUUCUUCUGUGAUGACAAUGAGAAUGCACAAACAAUGUCUUCAGGCCAAAAACCUCCACAAGAAACAACAAACGAUUAAAAAAAAGUCACUAUGAGACCAACAGCCUUAAAAAGCUGCAGAUGUUAGGGUGAUUAGAAAAGCAUAAAAAUGACAAAAAAAACAUUUGUUUACAGCUGCUAAUUUUUUUUGAUGCCACAUGAGCUGACAGAUGGAGGUGGGGAGAUGACAAGGUAAACACAACAGAGCACGAUCUACUCAUGGGAAUCACACAUACACACACACCUUUCAACACACAAUGACACAUGACUAAAGGUUGCCAGGUUCAAACACCGGGUCUGUUAAAGACCGGUUUACCAAGUCCGAGGAUUAUGCAUCUGAAGUUACCUGCCCCCCUGGUAAUGUGAAGCCCCUUUAUGAGGCCUAUGGGCAACAGCGCACAAGACAGGCAUCACUUCAAGAUGCCAGAGGUGAAAUUUGGAGCACCGGGCAUCAGGAGGGAUGCCUUGAGAAAGAUUUCCCUUUCAGAGAAGAGAAAUUCUGGCCAAUUGCGCCACCAGCUCGUAGAUUGAAAUCUAUAAAUCCACAGCUGAUUUUCCAUUUAGAUGAAAUUUGGCUGCAGAAAAAGCUUUCACAGCAAAGAGGUCACAGCCCUUUCUUUAUACCUCUUCAGUGAGAACAACUUGACAGGAUCAAGUUCAGCACCUGACAACAAACCCUGCUUCUGUCAAGUGUUAAGUUCCAUUGUGACCUGCAAUGGUGCACAAUGGCCCCACAGGACCUUUCUACUAUGCUGCCUAUCAAAUGUCUUUCAGGAAAAAAUGAAGGUGCAUGAGUGUUUCUGUUUUCCUCAACAGUUCACACAAUUCAGGAAAUUAUGAUGACUUUUAACAAGUUUUAUUGACCCAAAAGCUAAAAUUUUUUCAGACAAAUGUGUGCUCAUUUUUAAAAUGUUUUUUAUCUUGUACUUUAACCUUCAUGCCUGUUAAUAAAAACUUUUUUUUACCAGCUGUUUAUCGUCUUACAAAAUGUUUUUCUCACUGUUCUAAAUUAACUUCCAAAAAGGUUAAAGGUUAUACCUGCCAGUAAUUAGAUAACAACUUUUUCACACUGUUUUAAAAUGUUUUUACAAAACAAAAUCCAUAAAUCUUAUCAAAAAUACCACAAUGACUGUUUGCACAUUGAUUUAGGUGACAAGUAUGCAUUCUCCAUUGAGGUACAUGAGGUCGAGCUUCAAGAACGCUGUUUUUGUGCUCCACCAGCUCCAGGGGAAAAAUAAAAAAUCAUUUUUUCUUGCAACAUUAGGGGAGUUUAUCAGAGAUACCCAUCUAUCUGUUUUUGUCAACCCUGUUCACCCGGUUCCAGCUGGUUGGGGGGAGUUUGUGCUUUUUGAACUUGUAGUCAGGAAAGGUGUGCACCUUUCAUCAGGGUGAACCCGAAAAAAAAGAAAACAAGUUCAAAUUUAUAGACAUGUAAAAAGAAAAUUCAG